AUUGAACGCUGGCGGCAGGCCUAACACAUGCAAGUCGAGCGGAGCGGCGGUCGGGGGAGUAAUGGCUAGGAAUCUGCCUGGUAGUGGGGGAUAACGUCCGGAAAUGGGCGAUAAUACCGCAUACUAUCAGUUGAGCCUAGGUCGGUUUAGCUAGUGGGUGGGGUAAAGGCCUACCAAGGCGACGCUCCGUAACUGGUCUGAGAGGCGGAUGAGUCACACUGGAACGUGGAAACGGUCCAGACUCCUACGGGGGGAGGCAGUGGGGAAUAUGGGACAAGGGGCGAAGUCCGGAUCCAGCCAGGCCGCGUGGGUGAAGAAGGUCUUCGGAUGUUAAAGCACGUUAAGUUGGAAGGCGUUACCAACAGAAUAAGCACCGGCUAACUUCGUGCCAGCAGCCGCGGUAAUAC
rnacentral:rRNA from 1 species